AUUGAACGCUGGCGGCGUGCUUAACACAUGCAAGUCGAACGAAGUGGCGCACGGGUGAGUAAUGCGUAAUCAACCUGCCCUUCAGAGGGGGACAACAGUUGGAAAUGACUGCUAAUACCGAAUACUGAAGGAGGGGAUUGCGUCUGAUUAGCUAGUUGGAGGGGUAACGGCCCACCAAGGCGAUGAUCAGUAGCCGGUCUGGAAGGAUGAACGGCCACAUUGGGACUGAGACACGGCCCAGACUCCUACGGGAGGCAGCAGUGGGGAAUCUUCCGAAAUGGACGAAAGUCUGACGGAGCAACGCCGCGUGAGUGAUGACGGCCUUCGGGUUGUAAAGCUCUGUUAAUCGGGACGCGGUACCGGAAUAGAAAGCCACGGCUAACUACGUGCCAGCCGCCGCGGUAAUUC
rnacentral:rRNA from 1 species